UAAAGCCCAAAGCAUGGGUCAUUCCGUGUCAAAUCACCUAGUGGCUGGCAGGUCACCCUCUCCCAAAAAAUCUGAAAAAAAUCACAGGUGUUUGUAGACCAAACCUAUGCAUAAAUCUUAAAUAGUAUAUCUGUAUCACUAAUGGUUCCAAAACUACAGCCCUUUGAAGUUUCAAGUCAUUUUAAGCAUUGUGGUGAACAAUCCUUUUUGUUCAACUUCCAACAUUAUUGGCUCUUUUGGUAUUGCACACACAUUAGUGAAACUAUGUGAAUA